rnacentral:lncRNA from 1 species
CUUUUUUUGAAACACAACCUUGUCUAGAAGACGAAAUAGACCCACGACAAAUACAGGAAUUCCUUUGUUCAUCGAACAGAGUCUCCUCUGUAUUUGUACGGCGUAUCACCUAAUAAAAUAUCCACAAUAAUAUUACUCACACAGAUCAGUGAACACAAUACCAAUACUCAUGCCAUCAAUCAACUAACCAUCCUUAAGAUGAU